UCAACGGGGAGGAAAAAAAACACUCUUCUUUAGUCUCUCUUGUGCAUUUAAAACGUGGGGGAGCCGGUGUCAGAGGGAGAUUUCCAGCAGACGUCCGGUGCUAGCCAGCUAGCAGCACUCAAAUCGCUCGCGAAUCAACAAGUUGAAUCCCACAUCAGCGGCUAGCCGAGCUGGCCAGCUAGCUAGGAACUAGCUAGCAGCAACCGCACGUCCCAUGUUUGUCAACAAGCGCUAAACGCCGAAAGGCUAAUAUUUCCUUAAUCCUGGGCCUGGGUGGGAGAGCAUUCACUUCCCGGGUCUACUUUAACAGUGAGCAGCGGCUGCCGGCGAGCUAACGGCGCGACGGUGCGACGUCCUGGCCGCUUAGCUCCCGGGGCUAGCUCCCAGAAAAAGUUGGGCAACGGCUGCACUGAAACGCGACUAGGUUCGGUUAGGUGGCUAGCACGCUAACCCGUGGGGUGGCUAAGCGGCGUUCGAGGAAGCCCCGACGGCCGUCGAGGUCGACAACAAGUGUUUGUCCAGCGUCGUUUUCGUGCGACGCAGCGUCGCCACUUCGCCUCCUGCUCGGUGGAAGAGCGGCUUCCCUUCAGGGCUCGAACCAGGUGCACAAACUUUCAGGCCAAACUUAUUCCCGGCGAGGUCUCGACCUUCCCAGCGGACGCGACACGAUUCUAAAUGUUCCCAGCGACGUAUCCAGGGAAUGGUAUCCGACGGCUAAAGCAGCGCGGUGUAAAAUGCCGCCACGGCAGCGUCAGGACGUUAAAAGAAACACCGGGGGAUGAAGAGGGUACGAGGGGAUUGUUAGUAGCGACUGGGAGAGCGUCCAGCUGGAAGGAUGUCCUCGUGAGUCAAGGGGGAAACAGUCACGUGUCAGAAGGGAGGAGGGAGUACAGUCACAGUGGGGGAACGUGCUCAAGCGUCGCCAUCUGCAGGAUGCCUGAAUACAAUGCAUCUGUCCGGCUGUCCGUCUGUCCCGGCUCAGAGGAACUCAUUUUUGGCUGCCGUGCUCCUGUUUUGCUUUGAAAGGAAAAAUGACACACCAAGUAGGAGUUUGAACUGCAGACUGUUAAUUGCAGCGGAUUCGAUGGUAUUUUAGGUCUCAUUGGAUGAACAUUAAAAAACACACUGGCCAUUUUAUCUCCAUGGUCUCAUUUCAUGCUGCCAAAUGUUUCUGGCCAGACUGAGCCUGUAAUAACAGCUAUUUCUAAUAUGGGCGCCAAUGAUAUCUCUGUAAAGUCUGGUAAACGCCACACUGAUAUGUCACAGUAUACAGUUCUACAAGUGUUCACAUCUGUCUUACUGUUGGCAGUAAGAAAAUAUUGAUUUCUGUGGCUUUCGUCUAAAAGACCGGCAGAAUGUUCUUUCUAAAUGCAGGGGAACAUGAAUGACCCAGUUCCUACCACUGAUUCCACAUGAACAGUGCUGAACCUGAUGCGGGGGGCAUCAAAGGUAGUCCAGGAAAUACACAUUAAAAUAACAACUGACUGAUCCAUGGGUGCAAGUGUACUUGAAAUUUCAAACCAAGGUCAAAAACAAGUUUGUAUAAACUGGGCUACAGUCACACAACGUGCUAUGUAAUGCACUUUAAUUGAAGGGUUGAACUGAUUAAUUUAACCAUGUUGCUGGUUAAUUCUUAGUUUGUUAAUUUUGUUGCAUUUGUUAUGGUUUGUAGUUUAAAUAAUUAGACAUGAGUCCACAAGUUGCAAAAGCAAAGAAGGAAAUGGGUGUGUGUCAUUUACACAUUUGAGGAAGCUGAGCUUUGCUGCGUCAACAAGAGGAAAUGCCGACAGACGUACACCAUGUUGGUAAAAAAAGAAUACGCCUCUCUUUUAUAGGUCUCUUCCAUGAAUGUCUUUGGUUUUCCAGCUUUAGAGAAGUGAAGGAGGUCAGUAGGUCAUAGACACAAACUGCCCACAGCACAGUUCUUGUUACAUCAUCCCUGUACUGAGCUGUGGCAUUCUGUUUCUUCUCAAUGUGCAGAGAGGAAGGGUGGGUUCAGUGUCAGCAAAUGGUAAACUACCGUAGGUCAUUUUUACUUGCUGCUGUAAGACUUUACAACCUAAGCUGCUCCCAGUGAAUCACUGACAAUUGUAACUGUUUCUACAACUGUAACUAAUGCCAUCUUAUACUGUAGUCACCAUCCAAACUUCCAAAUGUUUGGGCAGUCUUUUUUUUUUAAUCCUGUGCAAUAUUCAGUCAAUCCAUGGUGGAAAUACCCAUCACCUCAGUAUGCAUGUGUGUAUAUAUAUGAUACAUCUUUAUUUUACUUUAAAUUGUAGAUAAUUUUGAUCCUGCUCUUGUUUUAUACUGCUGCUGCAACGUGGAAAUUUCCCCACUGUGGGACGAAUAAAGGACUAUCUUAUCUUAAACUGAAGCA
rnacentral:lncRNA from 1 species